rnacentral:sRNA from 12 species
CCCUGACAGUCACACAUGUGACUGACAUUCGCCAAGACAGGAGACUCACAUG